AAUGGUGGCUUUGGAUAGGAAAAGAUACAAAAUAGUGCAAAAAUGUGCAAACUGAGUUAGCAAUUUAUUUCAACCUUAACUUCUUCCUCCGACCUUGGAUUGGCCCAAAUGACAUGUGGUUGGAAAGAUGACUUUCUAAACUUUAAGAUGGAGGGCUUAAUGUCAUCAUUUGCUUAAGAAAAGCCCAAUUCGUGAGCCCAUGAAUUUGCUGAUCAUGGUGACCUAAGGAUGAGCUGAUUGUU
rnacentral:lncRNA from 1 species